rnacentral:rRNA from 1 species
UACGUAGGGUGCAAGCGUUAAUCGGAAUUACUGGGCGUAAAGCGUGCGCAGGCGGUUUUGUAAGUCUGACGUGAAAUCCCCGGGCUUAACCUGGGAAUUGCGUUGGAGACUGCAAGGCUGGAGUCUGGCAGAGGGGGGUAGAAUUCCACGUGUAGCAGUGAAAUGCGUAGAGAUGUGGAGGAACACCGAUGGCGAAGGCAGCCCCCUGGGUCAAGACUGACGCUCAUGCACGAAAGCGUGGGGAG